GGAAGCAAAAGUCGUAACAAGGUUUCCGUAGGUGAACCUGCGGAAGGAUCAUUAUUGUAUAACCGAGGUGCGAGGGCUGUCGCUGACCCGAAAGGUCGUGCACGCCCGAGUGCCCUCACACACAUCCAUCUCACCCCUAUAUGCACCACCGCGUGGGUCCCCCUUUGGCUUGUUCGGAGGGGGGCUUACGUUUUCACACAAACUUUGUAUGCAGUGUAGAAUGUAUUUUUUGUUUUUGCGAUCACGCAAUCAAUACAACUUUCAACAACGGAUCUCUUGGCUCUC
rnacentral:misc_RNA from 1 species